rnacentral:rRNA from 1 species
GUGGGGAAUAUUGGACAAUGGGCGCAAGCCUGAUCCAGCCAUGCCGCGUGAGUGAUGAAGGUCUUAGGAUUGUAAAGCUCUUUCACCGGUGAAGAUAAUGACGGUAACCGGAGAAGAAGCCCCGGCUAACUUCGUGCCAGCAGCCGCGGUAAUACGAAGGGGGCUAGCGUUGUUCGGAUUUACUGGGCGUAAAGCGCACGUAGGCGGGCUUUUAAGUCAGAGGUGAAAUCCCAGGGCUCAACCCUGGAACUGCCUUUGAUACUGGAAGUCUUGAGUAUGGAAGAGGUGAGUGGAAUUGCGAGUGUAGAGGUGAAAUUCGUAGAUAUUCGCAGGAACACCAGUGGCGAAGGCGGCUCACUGGUCCAUUACUGACGCUGAGGUGCGAAAGCGUGGGGAGCAAACAGGAUUAGAAACCCUAGUAGUCC